rnacentral:rRNA from 1 species
UACGGGGGGGGCAAGCGUUGUUCGGAAUUACUGGGCGUAAAGGGCUCGUAGGCGGCCAACUAAGUCAGACGUGAAAUCCCUCGGCUUAACCGGGGAACUGCGUCUGAUACUGGAUGGCUUGAAUCCGGGAGAGGGAUGUGGAAUUCCAGGUGUAGCGGUGAAAUGCGUAGAUAUCUGGAGGAACACCGGUGGCGAAGGCGGCAUCCUGGACCGGCAUUGGCGCUGAGGUGCGAAAGCGUGGGGAGCAAACAGG